rnacentral:sRNA from 1 species
CAUCAAGUGUGUGUGCGGGAACAACAUUGCCGUUGUUUCUGAUGCCGAGGGCUUGGAAAUGGGAUACGGUUUAUGGUACGAGUAUACGGAGGCGGGGGAACGGGAUAUGUCUUUUUUUUCAAAUGCCAGCCACAAGAGCUGGAGUGUUAAAGGGGCGAAGGGAUCAACAGGAGGAUCAGGAACAGUGCUGGAUACGGUAUUCCCUCACAGGCGUUCCUCACAACUGGGAAACUCACAACUGGGAAACUCACAACAAUAACUGUAGCGUAAAGAAGUCUUGAACUUUUAUAUACACUGGAUUGGCAAGCAGACGGAUCAGAAUCAGUAAUGGAAUAGAAUGGAACGCCUUGGGAAGGGUUUCUCUCGGGAGAAACCGGUACUCGGUACUCGGUACUAGAAAGUCAAGCCGAAUCAGGAUCAGAUCAUAUACAUAUAUGUAAGUAUCUAGACACUGGAGUUGUAAUGGUAAGGUCUUGAUCGAUUGCGUAACAGAUUUGCUGCGGUGCUUUCAAGAAAAGUUCUGCAAAUAUAAUGUGUUCAGAUGGCGUUUCUAUCUUUCUCGAGCGCUCACCACCACUGACACUGCAGGGGCUUGAAUGCAACCAAAGAUCUUUCUAAAUGUUACCAAGACUUUUCAGUUCAAAGAAGUUGGAUAAGGAGAAGAAUAGCAGUUGGAAUGGAAUGGUAAAGGCGUCUAGGCAUAAACCCUCAGACUCAGACAAGAUACACUUUUCGCUGGCGAAGUGUGAUGUAAGUACAGUAGAAUCCGGUUAUAACGACUCUGCUUAUUCGAUGACUUGGUUGGCCCCCAUGCAAACUUAUAUGAAAGAGCCUCCGCUUAAUAUAUGUAUAUGCAUAUAUCAGUGAUCGGCAACGAUUUCAAAGGAAGAACUGGCUGAAUAUGUUCUUAUUGACAAUGCUGUGGCGUUUUGUGAGGACCCUUCCGAAAACAACAUUGUUAAAAAUAUAUUAGAUAACGGACAGGACAGCGACGGCAACGUCGAAGAUCAAAAUGAAGCGUUUUGGAGGCAUUUAAGACUGCAGAAAUUCGGAAUCCAUAGCAUAGCAUGACUAGUUUAAAUAAUGCCGUGCGCUACUGUUUUUAUAUAUCAGAAACUACUGCUAAA